UGAUUUACGCGCUAAUCUGAG
ensembl:piRNA 21ur-7066 ncRNA